AUAUUUAUGACACCUUUAUACUAUGCUAAUGCAGCAGGUUGCAAGAAUUUUCACUUAUUGUUUCAUUUUAUUGUAGAAUAUUGAAAUAAUACUUUAGGCAAAUGUCAGUGUACAGAUAAAGGAUCUUUGAUGUGAAGAAACUGAUGUAAUAGAAAAAAUCAACAAGAUAUCACACCAUACCUAGAUUUCACCAAGUGCUGCUUCUCUAUUUUAGUUGUUUUAUUUUUCAGCAAUUAACAAACAUAUCUUGGACAAUGGAUUACACAUGUAUCGGACUAAAAAUAAAAUAAUAAAUAAGUGACGACGGAAUCAUUUUCAUUUGUUUUUUAAUACGCUACCUAUAGAAGAUAAAAGAUGAUUCAAUUUAAAUAGGUGAUGGUUAAGUUUCUUUCUAUAAAUACAGGAAUUAUAGUAUGAAAAUAGAUAUUUCACGACGAGAGAAAUAUCAAAACUUUCAUGAUUAAUCAUGUAUUUAGAGAGAAAAAAUUCAGUUUAUUAUAUACAUUUUCUCAUGUUCGACUUUUUAAAAUUUGAAAGACAAUGCUUUAAUUUUGUGAUGUGGCUGACUUCAGAAAAAUGUUGUCUGGCAAGACACUAGUGAUAAUACGGGAAUAAGUUUUCCUGCAGUAAAAAGUAAAUUCUGAAAGUUUAAAAACAGGAAAAAUAAUUAUCUAAUUUAUGUAUGCAAUAUUAAGGAUGUUUAAGAAUAUAAUGAAAAGAGGAGA